rnacentral:rRNA from 1 species
AUACGGAGGGUGCAAGCGUUAUCCGGAUUUACUGGGUUUAAAGGGUACGCAGGCGGUAAUUUAAGUCAGUGGUGAAAGCCUACAGCUCAACUGUAGAACUGCCAUUGAAACUGAAUUACUUGAGUAUGGUAGAGGUAGGCGGAAUACAACAUGUAGCGGUGAUAUGCAUAGAUAUGUUGUAGAACACCGAUUGCGAAGGCAGCUUACUAAACCAUUACUGACGCUCAUGUACGAAAGCGUGGGGAGCGAACAGGAUUAGAAACCCUAGUAGUCC